rnacentral:rRNA from 1 species
AGGGUUUGAUCAUGGCUCAGAUUGAACGCUGGCGGCAGGCCUAACACAUGCAAGUCGAGCGGAUGAAGGGAGCUUGCUCCUGGAUUCAGCGGCGGACGGGUGAGUAAUGCCUAGGAAUCUGCCUGGUAGUGGGGGAUAACGUCCGGAAACGGGCGCUAAUACCGCAUACGUCCUGAGGGAGAAAGUGGGGGAUCUUCGGACCUCACGCUAUCAGAUGAGCCUAGGUCGGAUUAGCUAGUUGGUGGGGUAAAGGCCUACCAAGGCGACGAUCCGUAACUGGUCUGAGAGGAUGAUCAGUCACACUGGAACUGAGACACGGUCCAGACUCCUACGGGAGGCAGCAGUGGGGAAUAUUGGACAAUGGGCGAAAGCCUGAUCCAGCCAUGCCGCGUGUGUGAAGAAGGUCUUCGGAUUGUAAAGCACUUUAAGUUGGGAGGAAGGGCAGUAAGUUAAUACCUUGCUGUUUUGACGUUACCAACAGAAUAAGCACCGGCUAACUUCGUGCCAGCAGCCGCGGUAAUACGAAGGGUGCAAGCGUUAAUCGGAAUUACUGGGCGUAAAGCGCGCGUAGGUGGUUCAGCAAGUUGGAUGUGAAAUCCCCGGGCUCAACCUGGGAACUGCAUCCAAAACUACUGAGCUAGAGUACGGUAGAGGGUGGUGGAAUUUCCUGUGUAGCGGUGAAAUGCGUAGAUAUAGGAAGGAACACCAGUGGCGAAGGCGACCACCUGGACUGAUACUGACACUGUGGUGCGAAAGCGUGGGGAGCAAACAGGAUUAGAUACCCUGGUAGUCCACGCCGUAAACGAUGUCGACUAGCCGUUGGGAUCCUUGAGAUCUUAGUGGCGCAGCUAACGCGAUAAGUCGACCGCCUGGGGAGUACGGCCGCAAGGUUAAAACUCAAAUGAAUUGACGGGGGCCCGCACAAGCGGUGGAGCAUGUGGUUUAAUUCGAAGCAACGCGAAGAACCUUACCUGGCCUUGACAUGCUGAGAACUUUCCAGAGAUGGAUUGGUGCCUUCGGGAACUCAGACACAGGUGCUGCAUGGCUGUCGUCAGCUCGUGUCGUGAGAUGUUGGGUUAAGUCCCGUAACGAGCGCAACCCUUGUCCUUAGUUACCAGCACCUCGGGUGGGCACUCUAAGGAGACUGCCGGUGACAAACCGGUGGAAGGUGGGGAUGACGUCAAGUCAUCAUGGCCCCUUACGGCCAGGGCUACACACGUGCUACAAUGGUCGGUACAAAGGGUUGCCAAGCCGCGAGGUGGAGCUAAUCCCAUAAAACCGAUCGUAGUCCGGAUCGCAGUCUGCAACUCGACUGCGUGAAGUCGGAAUCGCUAGUAAUCGUGAAUCAGAAUGUCACGGUGAAUACGUUCCCGGGCCUUGUACACACCGCCCGCCACACCAUGGGAGUGGGUUGCUCCAGAAGUAGCUAGUCUAACCGCAAGGGGGACGGUUACCACGGAGUGAUUCAUGACUGGGGUGAAGUCGUAACAAGGUA